GUGUGUGUGUGUCUGUGUGUGUGUAUGCAUAUGGGGAACUGAAGAUGCCCAGCCAGAGUUGUGAGCUUCCAGUCUUUCAGCAAAGGAAGAAGAGCUUUAGAAAAAUCAGAGUAAUAUGAUCAGAUCGCCCCACCAGUGGCUCAACAAUCUGUCCUCGUGUACACUUUGAAGAAAGCACAGGUGGUGAAGUGUCUCAUUUCAAGUUGUUGUGGUUUUCUGCCAUGGAGGAAAGUGUUGAAAAAAAAGGGAACUAUACAGCAUAAAGAUGGGUUUUCACAGAUCCUGUCAAGGGAUCUGAAUGAUGCAGUGUCGCAAUCCCAUUUUAUAAAUGAGGCAACCAAAACUCGAACAGGACCAUAUUGCGACUGAAACAAGGCAUAACAGGUCUUUGACUGGCUAUCCUGUGGAUGUGGACUCAGGCUAGCCUGCGCAAAGUGAAAGACAGGCAAUUAGAUUGAAAAAUACCUGUGAUUCAAAGAAGUCACAAGUCACAGAGACAAACUUUUCCCAGUGUGUUCGAGUCAGAGAACCUUUGCAAAGACCAACAGGCUAAAAGAGAAAAUACAAUGUCAUCUUGAUGCAGAUGAGCAGGUAACCAUGGAAGUCGUGAGCUGAGGCUGCAGAGUCUAGAGCCAGAGUGUGGAAUAAACUUGGGUCUCAAAUCACCCCUGGAGCAAAGCACCCAUCUAAUCAGGAACUUCUACUUUCAACUUUACAUGCGUGAGAAAUGAACUUCUAUCAUGUUAGAGAAAUCCUUACACGGCGCCCUUGAGAGCUUUCAUACUGCAAGUCAUCCAUUUUCCUCCCCUCAAACCUGGCAUCGGAGUUUAUUGAAACAAAGCAAAAUAAAACAAAUAGACAAAGCUCUACCUCCAUCACUUCUGCAGUCUACAUUAACCCCACGUCCAGAAUAUUCACACCUCAGGUCUUUUUCUCACAAUUGAAACACUGGUUCAGAGCCUAACGGAAGGUCUUGGAGGUAAAAACACAACUUGGGGCAACUUUUCCAUUCUGUUCUGCAUGACCCCAAUGGGACUUCUCAGAAACCCCUCUCAUGAAUUAAACUUUGUUCUGUCUAGAGCAUUAGAAUAAGCUUAUGGGCACCUGCCAGGAGAUUAUAAAGUGGGCCAUUUAAAAGAUGACAGAUAUUGAGCACCCUUGACCCUGUAGAAAGAGUGUACCUACUUGCUUUCCCUAGGGCCCUUAAUGGUUUAUAAAAACA
rnacentral:lncRNA from 1 species